rnacentral:snRNA from 1 species
AAAAAAUCUUGGCAGGGGAAAUACCAUGAUCACCAGGCCUCUAGGAGUUCGUUUUUCCAGGGUGAGGUCUGUUUCUUGCACUCUGGGCAUGCUGUGACCCCUGUGAGUUUCCCCAAGUGUGGAAAACUCAACUGUACAAUUUUUUGGCAAUGGGGUUCUGCUUUCUUUUUCUCUGG